UGUGACGUCGCAAAUCAGCUGAUCUUCCGUAGACAUCUUUACGAGUCACGACUGCGGUGUUUAAUUCAUACCUCCUCGUCUGUGAUUUUGGGGGCCCUCGCGGAUCUUUGACAGCUGCAACCAUGGCGCUCAGCGAUGCCGAUGUUCAGAAGCAGAUCAAGCACAUGAUGGCCUUCAUUGAACAGGAGGCCAAUGAGAAGGCAGAAGAGAUCGAUGCAAAGGUAAAA